rnacentral:rRNA from 1 species
GAUGAACGCUGGCGGCGUGCCUAAUACAUGCAAGUCGAGCGAACAGACGAGGAGCUUGCUCCUCUGACGUUAGCGGCGGACGGGUGAGUAACACGUGGAUAACCUACCUAUAAGACUGGGAUACCUUCGGGAAACCGGAGCUAAUACCGGAUAAUAUAUUGAACCGCAUGGUUCAAUAGUGAUCGCCGGUUUUGCUGUCACUUAUAGAUGGUUCCGCGCCGCUUUGCUAGUUGGUAAGGUAACGGCUUACCAAGGCAACGAUGCGUAGCCGACCUGAGAGGGUGAUCAGCCACACUGGAACUGAGACACGGUCCAGACUCCUACGGGAGGCAGCAGUAGGGAAUCUUCCGCAAUGGGCGAAAGCCUGACGGAGCAACGCCGCGUGAGUGAUGAAGGUCUUCGGAUCGUAAAACUCUGUUAUUAGGGAAGAACAAAUGUGUAAGUAACUAUGCACGUCUUGACGGUACCUAAUCAGAAAGCCACGGCUAACUACGUG